AUGCCCCAGGGACACCCACUCGCCAUUUCUUCCUACGUUAUAGAGAUGCUUCAGGACUUCUUGCCUCCUGGCCAGCCCUUCAGUGCUUCCUGGAGGGAACACGCUCUCGGAGCCUUGCCACGGGCCAGCCCAGACCAAGGGCUCCAGCCCAGACAGAAAAGCCGGCAUCUGCUCCCUUUCGGCCCCCAGCUCUGUCUGAUGUCCUGUCCUGGGGAUCAGGGGAGGAAGCCCUGCCCACACCUUCGGCACUGCCCAGCCCCUGCGCCAGGGGAGCCGAGGUCCUCCCGCUCCGAAAUCCAUGAAGGAGUGGUGAACUCCUAUAUCCCUUGUAACCCAGCUGAAUAUUUUCCAGGUUACCUAACCAAACUCCUGCAAAACCACACCGCCUAUGCCUGUGACGGGGACCAUUUGAAUCUGCAGUGUCCUCGGCAUUCCACGAUAAGUGUCCAGUCGGCAUUUUAUGGGCAAGAUUACCAAAAGUGUAGUCCGCAGCAGCCUGCCUCCCAGAGGGAAGACAGCCUAACCUGUGUGGUGCCCACCACACUGCAGAAGGUGCUGGACGAGUGUCAGAACCAGCGGGCCUGCCACCUCCUGGUCAAUAGCCGUGUUUUUGGACCUGACCUUUGUCCAGGAAGCAGUAAAUACCUCCUGGUCUCCUUUAAAUGCCAACCUAAUGAGUUAAAAAACAAAACCGUGUGUGAAGACCACGAGCUGAAACUGCACUGCCACGAGUCCAAGUUUCUCAACAUCUACUCUGCGACCUACGGCAGGAGGACCCAGGAGAGGGAUGUCUGCUCCUCGGAAGCUGAGCGGCUCCCCCCCUUUGAUUGUCUGUCUUACUCGGCUCUGCACGUGUUAUCCAGGAGAUGUUACGGGAAGCAGAGGUGCAAAGUCCUCGUCAACAACCGCCACUUCGGAAGCCCCUGUCUGCCAGGAGUGAAAAAAUACCUCUCGGUCUUCUACGCGUGUGGUGUAGACCUUGACCCAAGGGAACCGAGGGUUCUGAGGAAAGAUGGUGUGAUUGUCAGCCACUCGUUGGCAGCAUUUGCUUACAUUAGAGCCCAUCCGGAGAGAGCCGCCCUGCUGUUUGUGUCCAGCGUCUGCAUCGGUCUGGCACUCACGUUGUGCGCUUUGGUCACCAGAGUGUCCUGCACCAAGGACUUCCAGGAGCUGCAGCUGGCAAGGGAGCACCUCGUGCCAGGAAGCGACAAGGCUGAGGAGGACAGCCAGGAUGAGGAGGGAGAGGAGGACUCCUCUGACUCCGACUUGCCAGGGGAUCUGUCAGGGUUUGGUAGGACUACAUAUCCUGUCUACAGUUCCAUAGAGGCUGCAGAGCUGGCAGAGAGGAUUGAACGCAGAGAGCAGAUCAUCCAGGAAAUAUGGAUGAACAGUGGCUUGGACACUUCACUCCCAAGAAACAUGGGCCAGUUCUACUGA
rnacentral:lncRNA from 1 species